CUCCUCCCGGCAUUGUCCCGCGGCCGCCGUCGGGCUCUUAAGCCCGGCCGCCCUGGGGCACGGCCGCAGCAGCUCUUCCGCGGCCCUCGCCCGAGCUGCUGGUGCCUUCAUCAGCCAUGUGCCCAGAGCUGGGAUGGAUCCUGCCCUGGAGGCUGGGGUUCCUGGUGGAGCGUGGUCCCAGAUCACUGUGACACACCAGAUUGGUCAACUCCUGUGCCUGAGCAAUGUCAUGUGAGUGGUGGGGACGGAUAUGGAUUCCCUCUUACAUCUCAGUUGUGAUCACUCAGAUGCCCGAGUGCUGUAAAGCUGGACACUGGAACCCUUCAUCCUCAUGUUUGCAUGGUCUUGAGAGGGGCGUGGAUAAAAGCACGCAUCCUCUUCAGAACCUACAGUGAUUUUGUCCAAUGAUGUUGGAGCAACAUUGGCACAACCCACCACAUGGUGCUGGCUGGAAGGAGCCGUGCAGGAGCACUGUGAAGAGACUUUCCAGGAAUGUUUCUGCAUGGAAAGCCAACACGUCUGCCUUGCAGGACUGAGGGAAGGAGGAGGGAUGGUGACUUGAUCGGUGAAGUCAGUGUGAGACUUCCCAUUGAUUCCAGCGGGUGCUGACCUCUAUGGGCUGAGACAGCAGCCUCAGCAUUGAGCUUGAACCUCACACAAUGGGACCCUUAUCCACAGUGAGGCCACAAAAUGCUGUUGCAUCCUAAAUAAAUUCACAUGAAACCAUCACACGGCAGUUUUCUUUGUGUGGGAACUUAAGGAGCUGGGAGAAGAAGGAUGGGGCAUGGGGAAGAUGCUCACAUAGCGUGUUUAAGAAGGACAGAUAAGGUGGAUAGAAGCAGA
rnacentral:lncRNA from 1 species